rnacentral:rRNA from 1 species
GACGAACGCUGGCGGCGUGCUUAACACAUGCAAGUCGAACGGAAAGGCCCUGCUUUUGUGGGGUGCUCGAGUGGCGAACGGGUGAGUAACACGUGAGUAACCUGCCCUUGACUUUGGGAUAACUUCAGGAAACUGGGGCUAAUACCGGAUAGGAGCUCCUGCUGCAUGGUGGGGGUUGGAAAGUUUCGGCGGUUGGGGAUGGACUCGCGGCUUAUCAGCUUGUUGGUGGGGUAGUGGCUUACCAAGGCUUUGACGGGUAGCCGGCCUGGGAGGGUGACCGGCCACAGUGGGACUGAGAUACGGCCCGGACUCCUACGGGAGGCAGCAGUGGGGAAUAUUGCACAAUGGGCGGAAGCCUGAUGCAGCAACGCCGCGUGCGGGAUGACGGCCUUCGGGUUGUAAACCGCUUUCGCCUGUGACGAAGCGUGAGUGACGGUAAUGGGUAAAGAAGCACCGGCUAACUACGUG